ACUUUUUUUUUUUAAAGAAUUUUCGUAAAACAAAACCCUGCACUUCUCUCCUCUACACCUCCCCACUUCUUCCCCACCACUACCCACGCCAAACUCUCACCACCGUCGUUGCUGCCAUCGCCUCUCCUCCCGUGUCCCAUCUUAUCUCCUCUGAUGCGUGCCAUCUUAUCUUCUCUCCUCUCCUAUCUUCUCUCCUCUCUAGCAGCCAAGUUGCCGAUUUGUGUACCGCUUAGUACCUCCCCCGCCUCCUCUCCGGCCUGGGGCAAAGAAUCGCGCUCACCGCCAGUAUCGUCGACUUGCCUCCUACUGGAAACCGCUAAGAGGUUAGCUCAUACACCGUUCUGCUGGAAAAUCAAAUUUCUUUUUGGCCCCAAUCAAAUUUCUAUUGUCAAUCCUCGCGAACUAAAACGAAAUUCAUCUACUCAGGCUCAAAGAGCUUGCAAGUCCCAUUCUCGGAUACCAAGUGUUGUGAGUCGUGACUAUAUACGCCAGUCAUUUAGCUUCUGGUCUCUUAUUCAAUCAUGUAUUGCAACUUACAAGCAGAGAACAAAUUCGUUUAUGAUGGAUGGCUAGCUAAACAUAAAUUAAUUCUUAGGAUGUACCUUUCCGAGAUGUCGUGGCUUAUGUGAAGAAGAUAUAUUCAAGGGCGUACCUGGAUUUAGCACCCUUCCUGCUUUUAGAAAACAUAACCGAAGUUGCGCUUUAUGUGAUCAAGAGUUAAGAUGUCCUAGCCACCAUCUCAUGAAACCCAUUGCCUUCCAUUGAAGUAUUGCAGGCAAGGACAAUUUGGAGAGGGCUGAUCUUGAGCCAGAUUUGAAACAUCUGCAGGACAAGCUUAUGACUAAGAAUGUGGUAUGUUAAUGUUUUUUAGUUGUCUGUGUUUCUUAGGCCAUUAAGCUACAGAAAGUUAUGUUUAGCAUUAUUUGGAUGAUUAUUAGGGUGAAUGUCUUGUUGUUUUAUUUGGAUGAUUAUUAUUUAUGUAAGUUUUUUCCUCUUAUUGCUUCUGGAAAUUGAUGGCUCUGGUGAUGGCAAGCUGAGGAGAUAGAAGAGAAACUUUGAGAAUCAGUUGCAACAAGCCUUGAGGGUAAAAAGCAGGGUUCGUUUACAAGGAUAUCAUCAACAGUUCAGGCUGCUAUGGAAGAUGCCCUUGUUCGCAUCCUUACUCCUAAGCGUUCUAUUGACAUACUUAGGGAUGUUCAUGCUGCCAAAGAACAAGGGAAACCAUAUAUUGUUGGUUUGUAGGUUUCAAUGGAGUUGGAAAGUCCACCAAUCUGGCCAAGAUUGUGCCUUGAGUUACUGAGCUUAUUAUUGCUCAGUUUGUGUGGUUAGACUAUGACAACCGCUCAAAGCCUAUAUAUCUAUACAUCAACUCAUCUAGAACACAUUGUACUGGAGCAACUAAAUGCGAUAGCACAAGGUGAUUAUAUAACACCUAGUUCCGAGAAGAGGCGAGUUAGAGCAAUUAUUUUUGCUGGUAUCAGUUUGCCUGUUACUGAAAUCAAUCGACACCUCAAUGAUUUUGGCUUCAUGAGUCAUAUUGAAGGUCCCAUCUUUGCUACCUAUCUCAGUGGAUAAAGAAAAGAUUAAAUCCAAGAACGAAUAGCAACAUGUUACCUUUUGGACAACAUCAGCAUAGUGAGUUGAUGACAAACAAGCAAGUAAUUUGCCAAACAAGCAUCAGGAAUUUUGAUAGAAAGAUAAUGAAAGCAUGAGAUAUGGACACAACCUUUUGGUGUGUUGUAAAAUGUGAAGGUCCUCGUAAUUUUGUGCACAUGUAGUACAAUAAUUUAAUGUUAGAUUUUUUUCUUUUAUACUUUUAAGCAAUCUAUUAAUUUUGGGAUAACAAUUUCUGUCUUAUUUGUAUUAUGAAUAUAAUUUAAAUAAUAAAGAGUACAAUUAUCUAUA